GAUAGAUAGUAAUAAUAUGCAUGCUUUCCUGUCCAGCUUGAAUUUUCAGGAAACUCAGUGAAGAAACUUAAGGCUGGAAGGUUCCACCCGUCUCCCCCCUGCACACAGUAUCCUUCCCGCUGGAGCGGGCGAUGCCUUUGGAACCGCUGCCUUUUCCCUGGGAGCGCCAGACGCUGCGGGAGGUGAUGCGGCCGCUGCCCCUGGCCCCACCGGCCCCAGCAGCCAAGGGAGGAGGAACAACCUCAGCCCCCAAACCUGCGGGAACAACUUCCUGUCCUUCAUGCCUCCCACCGCCACCCCAUAGGGUUAUAUUUAAAGAUAAAUAUAUAUAUAUAUUUAAAUAUUUGUAAAAACAGCGAUUGAUAAAUGCAGCUAGUAAAUAACCACCCUUAAAUUAAAAAAAAAAAAAAGAAAAAAAAAAAGAAAAACACCCCACACAAGCCAUAAUGAUGAUGAUGAUGAUGACGGGAGGGGGGGAAAUAAAUAAAUAAAAGCGAGCGAGAGUCGGCGAGGGAGAGGGAGGCAGGUUCAAUUAUCUAAACAAAGAAAUCAUGGCGGAGUGUUUACAUUUGGCAGCCCAAAGCCUCUUGGAUUACGGAACCCCCCCCAAACCCAAGCGGCCCCCCCCGGCCCCCCGCAGUCGCGGCUCGCCGGAGCCCGCCCGCCGACACCUCGCCGCGGCCCGGAGCCUGAACCAGCUGCUUUGAAGAGAUCUUGGGACUGAAGGACUGAGCUGAGGCAUUUCUAAGGCAGCUGAUAACAGAGGAAAGAGCAGAUCAUGGCACCAAAUCCUGCCCCGGAGCUGAGCAGGGCCCAAGGAGUGGCCCCGUGUGGAGGAGCAGAUGGAGCUCUGCAAACUGUCAGGUAACCUUGCCCACUCUUGUGGAAAGCCUGAGGAGCUCCAGGAGGGAUUAAAAGAAGAGAUCUUCCUCCCCUGUUCAGGAGGAAGUUCAGGACCAGACUGCUUUUUCAGUCCUACAUAUUCCAACUUGGGCUCUCAGACACUCAGUGGAGCAAAAGCAGCUUUUUUGAAAAGUGACUGUUGGGGAUGUCCUGGGUCAGUAUCUCACUGUCCCGUAGAAUCACCCCUAGAAAUGUCUCUGCAGAAAGGUGCUCAGGUACAGCAGUGACUUUUCCUUAUGGAGCAGCACCCUCACCCUGUGUUUCAGGAAGGGCUGUCACCUUCACUGUGGAGAUCUGGUUUCCAUUCAUUACAGGGGAGCAGCUGAGGUGGAAGUUCAAUCCAAGGGCUGCAAUUUUGCCAAUGCCAGCAAGGAAACAAACUACUGGGCCCCAACAUGGCAACACACAUGGGAGAGGGAUUGGAAGUGCCUUUAAGAAACAAGUACAAAAAAAUGUCCCUCAUUCAGCCUCUCUCUGCUCAAGCCACUGGAAAGCUACCAACCUCAGAAAGAGCAAAAGCAGAAGAAAACUUGGAAACACCUGGGACGUUCAUGUGGUGCUCACACUCCUGCACCCUUGCCUUGGGCUUUGAGCUUUGGAACCUGGAAAUUCGAUUAGCUGGACAAUAUGUUCCCAGAAAGGGUUGCUGAGUCUCACCAUACCUGAGGAAGUGGCAGUAAUAUUCUGCAAAAAGGAAAGCAGGUAUCCAGUCACCAAAAUAAAUGUAAUUUUCAAUUUGUGGCCAUGUGCAGUUCUUCAGGACAAAACCUGGCUCAGGUGGAGCAAGAAAAGGCAGCUGAGCUGUGUCAGGACAUGGAUAACCCUGUUCCACAGCUCUGAGCACUCGGCUCAGUUGGCUUCCCAAGCCCCCAGGAUGGACAUGGAGACAGUUCUCUGGCAUUGGGGUGAAAGGCUGUUGAAAGAGAAGAAGGGAAUCUACCAGGUGGCUGCAUCUUGAAAAACAGCAUGGCUGGCUCUACCCAGACUGCUUUGGAGCCCUACCCUCUCUCCUCCUCUGUAGCGUCUCAGGUGAAGAGGAGGCUUUGACAUGGGCACAGAGGGGCCACUCUGAAGGUACAGAGAAAGUGGCAGGAACACGGAACGUCCUCUGAUCCCUGCUCUGGUACAACUAAAGCUUGAAUAAAGCCAUUUCCAGCUGGAUUUCCCCCAAGAUGUUAAUAUUGUGCUGGGUUUAAUGCUGACUGAAGCAAGGUAGCAAGCAGUUAUUGCAGGCCUGACAUGCCUGUUCUGCCAGGGAACAGCGUGAGCUUUCAACUCAGAAAACAAGGUGAACUUUGUUGGGUCAUCAAUCUGCUUUUGCCUGCCUUGGCCAGGCCUUGUCCUCCUGUCCCAUUUUGCAGCAGUCCUGUCUGUGGGAGAAGUACAACUGUGGGACGCCUGAUGAAAAGAGAUGGUUGAACAACUGGCCUUCAGCUCUGUCACCUUUUCUUGCUGCUGGCAUAAACAAAACACACAAAAAAACCCCACCCAAAAACCACAAAAACAAACGAACAAACAAAACCACCAAAAAAAGACAAAAAAAAUCCAAUGCAAAGAUAGUUUAUGUACAGCUCAGGAAGCUCACAGCAAUGAGUGUGUCUGUGAUUUAAUAACACAUCUACCCAAAAUGACACUUCUUCUAAUACUCACUGAGAAAAAGAAGGCAGAGCAGCACACAAGGCACUGCUAUUGCAGCAACAAGCAGCCAAACUAGCAGGUAUUUAUUUUUCAAUGUACACAAUUACUGGGGGAGAAUAAAAAUUAUUCUUUGACACUCUGACAGAGCCGUAAAAAGCUCUGUGCUUCCCCUACUCCCAUGGUCCUGACAAGAAACACCUCACCAAUUCUAAUAAAUAGAGAAUAGAAAUAAAUACUUUAACUACACAGCAUCAGGUUUCAAAUGGCUUCCUGAAUCAGAAAGUGCUGCUAGUCCAUCUUCCUUAUUUCCACACUCAGUAAUGGUGGCUCUCCAAAAGUCAAAGUGAGAUGGAUACUACAAGGAUCACAGACACUACACUGGGAAACCAAGUAUCAGUGGGGUACGUCCAGAUUUAUGGUAGGUGAUGGCAGUAAAGUGAAAGUAAAACUGUUUGCACAGUCUGUAUUGUUGGCCAUUACUGUGUAUUUGCCCUUUUUUCUUGCUUAGCUGCAGCUGGAAGAAUGGAAAAUUGUACCUUCUAUACAGUAUUAGAAAACACUUUCUGAUCAUAAGGUCAAUCAGAUUGGUUUAGCUGCUUGAGGUAUUUAUGGCACCAUCACUCAGUGUCUUUAAGGAAAGGUUAGAUACAUUUAUGGGAAAGGUAUUUUGCAGAAGCUUUCCUGCUUCAUAGAGGUCUUGGACAAAAUGACCCAGGAGGCCCCUUCCAAGUCUAUCAAGUGUGGUUCCCUGAUUGAUGCUGUUUUCCCCCAAAGUCUUUUCAAAACACAAAGCACUGUUAUAAAAUUUAAUAUGAUACACUAUAUAACUUUAACACAAUGCCAUUUUCUUAAAGGAAAUGGUUAGCUGGUAGCACAGGAGCCUCGUGCAAGAGGAAAAAAUGUAGAAAAAAAGAAAUUGCAGUGCAGUUUCUCUGCUGAGGGAUAUCGACUAUAACAUUUACUCUGUGUCUGAGCAUGGACUCUUAGCUGUGCAGGGGGACACCAAGCCAGGAAAGUAUAUAAGGAACCCAGGCUGUGGAAUUUAUUUCUCCAGAAAAGCCCGACAAGGCCUGAGGUAAUUUUCUAUGCUGUGCAAUAAUCAUUCCCUCAAUGCUGGGAAGCAAAUGGACACCCAGCUCUCCUUGUAAAUCACUGCCUGGUGCUGUAUCAGCUGGGCCUGGGGCAGAGCUGCCUGGGGACCAGGAGAGUCCCAGCCCUCCUGCACAGGCACAGGCACAGGGCCGGAGCUCAGGUGUGUCCUGCACCACCUGCACCAGCGAGAAGAGCCCGUCUGUAACUCACGGCUCUGGCCUGUCCUGCUGCCAUCCCAGCUGCACCAUGGAGCAGGCGGAGCAAAUCCCUGAAAAUGGCGAGCGCCAAAAGCUGCACUUUGGAAAAAGGGCAGCACCACCCCUGGUAAUGUGUUUGUCUGAUGACUAAAGAAUGAGCAAGAGAGCUUGGGCCAUAUUUCUCUUGUCUGAAUACAAGAUUGAUUGUCAGGCAGAAUCCUCUCCAGGUCUUCUGUGUUUCCACCAAACCAUUCAGUAAAAUGAUAAUAUUCUUCUCCCUACUAUACUUACUUGUUUUGUUGUGUUUUAAUUUGCUGAAUGUUUCCUAUAUUGACUUUUAUUUUUCCUUUGAAACAGUUAACAUUUAAAAAUUAAAGUCAUGUAAUUAUUUAAAAAAAACAACCAACAAGAAAAACCCAACCAGAUCCUCUGGACCAUCUGGUUGAAAUGCUCUGGGUCAGCCUCCACUAAUCUCUAGUCAGUUUUAAUUUUAGAUUUUCAUAGGAAAAAAAAGAAGGAAGAAACCCCAGAAUUUUAUUGAAUUGGAGUUUACUCUCAAAAUCAUUUUAUACUAACCUUUUUAUUUUCACUCCAACUAAUUUAGUUAAAGGCCAAACUCUUCUUCCAAAAAUCAGCUCCCAGCCCCCAUCUUCUUGGGAUAGCCCUAACAGGAAAUAACAACAUCUAUAUACAGACACUCUGAAGCCUUUUGAAGUCUCACAAAUGUGAGCUGUUCCCUUUUGCAGAGCAGGCUGGGAUUAACUCUUUUAUUAACCUUAUAACCUCAUCCAUGAAAAAAAAUAAUAGCCAAUCCCUUUUAUUUUGUUUCUUUUAAAAUCUGGAUGCAUGCUGCCUUCUCUACCCAAACAUUUGUGAGCUCACCCUACAGAGAGGAGCAAAAAAAGCCCAUGGAAAGCCCCCUCUCCCUGUGGAGCUCCCCAAAGCCCCUCUUGCCCCUCCCAUUAUGUUGCACUCAGUGUCAAAGUUUGUGUUUUCACUGGAAGAUAUUUUUGCUUUACAGGAGGCUUGUGUCUCUGUAUUGGUGGGAGCAAAUAACAACCUUUUGGUCCUUUUCAACACAUUACAUCAAUGCAUUUUCCUGAUUCCCAUGACAAAAAAGGAUCUUUUAGCAGAAUGAAAAAUCUGACCUGGGUGUAAUCCUGACAGCGCUCCAAUUGCUCAUCCUUAGCUUCAUCCCUGCACUGCAGUGCAGAAUAAGAGGCUCACACUGGAAUAGCUCUUCUCACCAGAGUCAAAAUGGUAAAAAUUUGCUCACAGAGUGACACGAGCAGGAAUUUCAAAGGAAAAUUUAUCUCCUGCUCUUUGUCUUACAAUAUGGUGCACUGUGGUGGCUGGAAGAUUUAACUUCCAAGCAUCCCAUCUAUAUAAAUCCUACUGGAAAACAAUUUUUUAGGGUGCUUAGCUCAGCAGCUGGAAUCUGCCAGGGAAUGAUUGCCAAGAUAAGGAUGGAGAAAAACUUUUCUGUAGCCUUCAGGUGUUGGUCGAGGGUCAGGAUUAGGGAAUAGCUCUCAGCUUUGGCUCUCAGAGCUCCGUGUGUUGCACGAGGUCACGGCUCACUGGUGUAAGGACCAGGGGUUUGGGCCAGUCCUGCCUCUGCCCUGCUCAGCUCGGCCCAUUAACUCCUCUGGUGAUACAGCCCCUCUUGGGUUUUCUGCUUUUCAAAGAUUUACACUUGGUUUAAAUCUCAAUCAAAAGCUCCACUUGAGAUUUUGGGAGGCCAAGACACUUAAAAAUCUCCAAUGGGAAGGGCAAGUGAGGAAGGCAGAAUAUCUCUCCCUUGCAAAGGCAUUCAAAUACCACUUGGAUGAGGAGUUUCCAUCUACUUUGCUGGAUAAACAGACAUCACAGUUCUAAUGUGCAGGGGUGCCCUUCACACCAACAGGCAGAGAAAAGAUGCAAUGGGAAGAGUAAGAGGCACCAGAAUAAAAAAAGGCAGGAUCCAACUGAAAUUUUACCUUUGAUCUUUGAAAAUGGGAAAACCCAUUCGGGAUCAGGAAUUUCCAGACUGGGCUGUAUGCACCAUUAAUUGUUUUCCAUGAAGCAGAGCUGGUCUGCUAUUGUUGCAUCCUCCAAAAACAGCUGUUACUAUGAGCUCUAUGGGAUUCAGGAACUCCACUUCCCAGUUUUCACUUAGUACUUCAGUGAUCAUAUAUAAAUAAUAGUAAUGAUAAUUAUAACAAUACCUGGCUUGCCAUUAUGUUGUACUCAGUCUUUGUGAUGCUCUCUCAUAAUAAAAUCUGUGUAUUAAACACUUUAACUGAAACUCUUAAUAAAACAGUGAUAUUUUUACUUGUGCUGUUAUAUUCACAUAAUGACCACAAAGCACUUUACAGAAUCAAAUGGAAGUCGCCAGUCUGAUCCUUCUAUAGAGCAUUUUGUGCAUCUCAGCAGUGCGUAACAAAGCUGCUGUAUAGACAAGUAACUGUCAAACAUACCACAUUUUGGGGUUUGUCCUGGCUGAGCAGCAUCCAAAAGCCUGGGGUUUGUCCUUCAGAUUGGUGUGAAAGUCUGUAAAGCCACCACAAAUUACACAACAAGAGGAACUGGACGGUCUCACCAACUACACAAGAACAAGCUGUGAUGUCUCAUUAUCAAGGUCCCUGGGUCAGAAAGAAGAAAAAAAGGUUAUAAUUUUCCUGGUUUAGGAAAAAAGCCAUGGAAGUCUUGGAGCUGAGUACUGAGCAGCCUCCAUGGGGUCACUGCAAGGGGCCAAGGCAAAUGCUGGCCCUGCAAAUGCUCGUGGUAAAUGGUGCCUUCCAAGGUUUGAGAGGGUCUCCAGCUUUGGGCCUUGUACCAGGUACUUCUGGAGCUGUGAGACAGUGACAGGCUUUGUUCCCUCGUGUAUAAUUGAUAAAUUACCAUUGUGAGUACUAAACAAUACAACUGAGCACAGAAUGGAAACACGCUAAUGCUUUAUCCAGCUCCAGCAAUUCUGCUCGUGUGCUCACACUGUUCUUAAAUGUGCUAGGUAUUUGUUUGAUGAAACAAUAAGUUUUAGAAAAGAGAAAAAUAAGAACUUCAAAGAUAAUAAAAACCUUGACUACAUACUUUACCACAGGAAGCUGUGAAUAAGCUUCAGUACUCUUUAUUUUUAACAUUCCAGAUAUGUAAUUUAGCACAGGUCUAAUGACAGUCUCGAACAUACUGCUUUAAUCGAAAUUUUUCAAGCUCUGUUCUGUGACAAGGGCUCACAAGAUACCAGCAGGGUUGUCCAUUUCCCCACUUCUGUAGGGAAAAGAAAAGGGAAGGGAGGGGGACACUCUUGAACUUAUGUUGCUAUUGAUGUGUAAUACACAAUAAAAAAACAGUUAAAUUUCAAUUACCCACAGGUAAUUAUAAUUUUAUUGUUUGACUGUACUAUGGGGAAUUUUGUAAUUCCCAAGACUAAUAAUUUUCUAUAAUUUUACAGGUUGUCAAAUAAACUAUUAAAGAUUAUCUUUGAAAAGGAUUCUGCAAUUGUAAGAACAUAUCAUACUGUUCCUGUACAUUAUUAGUAAUUAGAGAUCCCUGGAUAGUGAAAUAUCCACACUAUAUGCUAGCUGCUGGAUACCAUAUUUUCUCACAGCCUCCUGUAAUCUUGAACCAAAGCUUUCAGACUUCUCAGCCAUUGUAGCCUGAGUCAUGUCCAAACUUUUAUUAAUAUUCACUGAGCACUCAUUAAGCAAUUCUGGUGCAUUCGAUACGUUAAACCUGUGCUUCCUGACAGGGAAAAGCAAAGGCUCCCAGGUCCAUCCCAGAGUAGUGGAAACAAACACCAAAGGGCUCAUUCUGAACUCUGUCCCCUGAAGAGGAUAUGGGGAAGAAGCAACAUUUAUACCAGCUCAGAAGAUGUGAAUCUGCCCUGACAGUGCCUUUUGACAAUGAUGUGGCUUGCACAACAAGAUGGAGUUGUGCCUGAUAUUAUCCUAAAAAUAUGCAUAGAUGUAUAGAUGCUGGGGAUCAGCAUCACAUGUCCACAAGGAGGGGAAUGGCAGGGGCAAGGUCUCCAACCCAAAAUAAGCAAAUUAAUUGGGGGUAUUCCCUCAUCCUCAUCAGAAAAUCCCCCAGAUUUACUGGGGUGUUGGUGAGGAACUCCCCAGCCCAGUAGAUACCAACCUUUGCACAGCUGAGCAGGCAGCAGCAGCUUCUCCCAGGUAAUCUGGGAGAAGCCAAAGGCCACUAAAGCAGCAUGUGCUGGGUGACAGUGUCCCUUCCCUGUACAGUGCUUGGUGAGAUCCUCCCAGCCUUGCAGGGGUGCAGUGCUGAGGAGGAGCAGAGGAGGGAUGAGCUGAGAGGAAGAGCAGCCCCUGAAGCGUUGCAGGAGCAUCUGGCACAGCUUGCGACGGCAGCGAGCUGGGGUUCAGCAGCUGAGAGAUGGCUGAGCUCUCGCCUGCAGAGCCAUCAAAGGCACCAUUCUUAGCUGGCAGGAUUGUUUAUUGCAGCUGCCCCAGGAGAUCAUCAUUGCUUGUUUUAUCGGCCUUUUGGAUGGCUGUGUGGUGAGGGCUCUGUGCAGGGGGAAACUUCACUGCGUUAAGAGCAGCCUCAGGACAUGGGGACUUCCAGGCCUCCACCCUUAGGGCUGGGGUUUGUACAGCCCCAGCCUGUGGGGACACCAAGCAGGAGCAGCAUCUCAGGGCUCUGGACCCAUCUGCAGGGAGGGGUUUGCCCUGUUCCUGGCGCCAAGGAGCCUCUGCAGCAGCUGCAGCGCUCAGCAAGGGGCCUGGUGAGGGAUUUCCCUCACUCCAGGGAGCCGAGGGUGGAUUGUGUUGGUUUUACUGUGGUGUGGAGCUGGUGGAGCAGUAUAAAGAUACAGGAGCACAGGGAAGGAUUAAGGCCAAUGGACUGCAGCUCCCUGCCUUCCUCCAAAGACAGCUUGGAGCCCAUCAAAGGUAUUAAAUCUGAGGAGUCACUGUAGAUGCACAUGCUGAGCUCUCUUUUCCAAGGCCUGCUUGCCUUGUCCAGAGCUCAUCCUGCACCUAUGGGAAGGUGUGGGAAGAAGGAACAGCUGAUAAUUUGGAAAGCUCUUCAAUCAGUGGCAUUCCCUGCUCCUGACCGGCCUCUCUGCCUACUAACCCAGCUCAAUGAGACUGAACCCAUUACUCCAGAUGAUGGGCACUUACAAUAAAUAGAGGGAAAAUCCAAAGCCCAUAGAGAAGGCUCAAUAUGCUUCUGGAUAACAGACAGCACCAUAUGCAAACACAGAGCCUUCUUUCCCCUUAAUUCUGCUCUGUGCUUUUCCUGCUUAAUACAUUCCUUGUUGCAAGGAGAACAUGUUCUGACAAUUGAAGAGUGAAAGCAAUUAGAAACAGAAUUAAUUGAUAAAAUUAAAGCCCUGCUUUCCUUAUGUUUGUCAUAUGACUACAAAUAUUGUCAUUCCUAUUAAUAUUAAUUAAUAUAAUUAUCAAUGUUUCUAAUCCCUACACAUUUUGUUGAAAAGUUACUCUUAGCUCAAGAAUAUAAUUGUUAAGUCGUGGAAAUGUUAAGUAGCAGCUAAGCAAGUCCAAAGAAUUAAUAGCAAACUGUAGUUUAUCCAGGGAUUAGACUUUUAGCAACACAUAAUCACCUCUUCAUGUGUUCACCCACAUAAAAUACCUUCUAUCCCUGACUACACUUCUGCCUAUUUGUCCUUGCAGUGCACAGUUUUCAAGAAUUAAAAAAAAAAGACAGUAAGUAAACAUUCUGUGCAGUUGCAUGCUGUUCUUCAAGGUAAGUCACUGCACCAAGAGUUCUGUGCCCACAGCUGAGAGUAAUGUCAAGGUCAAUUAUCUCAGGCUGAAAGCCCUAAUGGAGGAUAUUUUUGUGAUCAGAAUAAUCUGUGUAACGCUGCAAAGCCUUUGUUUUGGAGUCGAGCAAAGCAAUUCCCCUCUCACCCAGCUUCCCCACACAUUUUCUCUCAGUUGGAAUGUCACAGAUUACUAGAAUAAUCCAAAGGGCUGCCCUGCCACGCUGCUGCCAGCUGAGCAGCUUCUCCUGGCGUGCGCCAGCAGCGUUCGAGGGCACAGGGACUGGAGCAGAGCCUUCCCGGCCGCCUGCCCGCGUCCUCGACAGACACUCAGCAACUCCUGCCUGGCACAGCAAGCAGCAGUGCUAGGUGCAGUAUUAAUCAGCUCUUUUGGAAAACAGCCAAAGUGCUUUAAAGGCCUUUGUUGUAGGGUAGAGGGGUGUUUCUGCUAGAAGAGAAUAAUGUAAUCAUUUUGCUAUUAAUUUUUAAUUGUAUGUUGCUCUGCAUUAUUACCAAUCUAUACUGAUUUUCCUGAGAGCAAUGGGGAUGCUGUGCAAGUGGUUUCUGUUAGGAACGCUGUUGGGCCACACUGGAAAAGAAGUGACAGAAAAAAGCUGUUCUUCAAAGUUACUGCAGUCACCUGCUGCUGCCUAUUCCUACAAGGUAUCACAUUAAAUACUUAUAAAAUGUAUGAACUUAAGAAGAUUCAUGGAGAACUGCCACAGUUUCCCCUGUCGUCAGGUGUUUUUCUUUGCUUGUUUUUGUAGGGGUUUGUUUCUUUUCUUUUUUUUUUUAAUGGCCACCCUUUGUAAGGAAAAGUUACUUCUGAGAAACCUUCUGCAAGCAAAUUAAACUCACUGAUGUGGAUGAAAUCAGUAGCAAGAGUAAGACAUACAUUAAUUCUUCUCAGAAGACAAUAUUUAUCAAAAAUGCUAAGAUGCAGCCCACUGAUACAGUUAAACUUUCUGCUAGAAACAUGAUUGUAUCACUCACUUGUGCCCACUCACAAAUCCUUCAUUUCAUCUGAGAGAAAACUGGCCAUGAGGGCACAGGAAAUCUUUAAUCUGCUUUUCUCCAUUUCUUCAAAUAUCUGGCUCUUAUCAACCUGCAUCGAACAUGAGCGACACAGAACCUUCAUGUCCUCCACUUCAUAAAACAAAUGCAAACAAAGCACAGACACGUCUUUAGUGUAAGAUGGAUUGAGCACAACAAAGUAUUGCAUAGCAGCAAGGCUGCAAAGAACUCCUGAAAAGGCAGCACUUGCUGCAAAUUCAGGAAGAAAUCAAUUAGACCAAGAAAGACACAAGUUAUGUAGAAAAAUCUACACUUUGCCACUGACCUAAGUAUCAGGAAGACAGUAAAAGGGGCCUGUUCCCCCAGUAUUUGAAUAUUAUCCUUUGUAAAGAAAAAUCAUGGUUUUUUUUCUCUUGAAUCCCUAAUACUAAUUAUGUAUUUCAAUAUAAUACUAUUUGUAUUAUACCAUAUCCUAUAAUGUAUAAUCUCUAUAAUAAAUCACACUAUUAUAAAUAUUUUUAUAAAUAUCUAUUAAUGUAGUAAUAAAAUAAACAUGUGUAGAGUUAGCUUAAAUAGCCAUAUACUACUAUGUGUUAAAAAUAAUUUUAUUUUUUGGCAGAUAUUCAAGGUUAACUGUAAGUUUUUGGACAGCUGGGAAAUUCUGGUAAAAAUUUGCAAAGUUUGCACCUAAUUCAGUUGAAUUAGCUUCAAAAUAGAGAAAUAGAUUAUUUGAUGAAGAAGAAUUAGACAAGUUAAAUUUUCAGUUAAAAAGAAAAUACACAGACAUUUUCUACCUGGCCAGUUCUAAACUGCAGUUUUAGUCCUGGCAUAAGCCCAUCAUCAUCAGUGAAAAAUGUGCCUUUGUCUUCUCCAUAUCCAGUGCCGCAGGAUCUCCAGGGGUGAUUCAGGAAAGCUCUGAGACAUUCACAAUAAGUCCAGUAACCACUUUCCCAAAUAAUGAUUCUUCCCUGGGCUGGGGCCAAAAUAGGUCAAGUAAAGGGAAAACCAAAACUGCAGACUAUGAAGCAACCUGCCCAUAAUUCCCCAUCAAAUCAGAGAUUAAACCUCUUGUACAGUAGCCUCUUCUAGGGGGACUGCAUUCAUCAUUCCAGGAAUUAGUUUAAACAAGGCUUAUUACUGCAAAACUUAAUAUACAAUAUAUUAUUUUAUUUGGAUUAUUCUGUUGCUUCACAGCUUUGAAAAAACAAAACAAAAACUACUAAAUUUGCAGUCACCUUUGGUAACGAGGUUCUGUUCCUCUGCCUAUUUGAGAUAUUUCUUUCCAUCUCCUGCACUGAAACUGAAUGUUUCAGUUCCUGAGAGCUGUAGAUAUUUAUUCAGUGCCCUUCUAUCUUGGCCAUCACAGAUAGCUCUCUGAUAACAAAUCACACUCUCUGAGCAUCAUUUGCUACCAGAAAGGAUCCUCAAGAAGCACAUGCUCCAUGACACAGGAUAUCCCCUGCUUUGCUGUGAAUGCUAUAAAGAGCUUCACAAAAUCAGCUUCCUUGUAUUGAGAGGGUAAGAAUGCAUCAUCUCAGUAGUUUUACCACUUCUUAUUGCCUGUUGAGGCUUCAUGCUUAGUCCCUGCUCCCUGGCUCUUCAAAUGAAUGCUGCUACUUAAACACAGAGAACGAUAUGUGCUUCGUGAGAGAUUCAAGGAUUUCAGCCAUCAAUAGAGGUUUAAUUAUAUGCUGGUGGAUGCUCAGGUACUAUAGCGAUGGCUGUUGUAUAAAUUGCACAAAGCCAGCACAGAAGAGACCACUCACAGCUCAUCGUACACUCCGCUCCUGCAAUUUAUACAAAAUAAAAUGUAAUGCAUGGUAUUAACUUGCAUCUUCUUCUUGACUAUGUCAUAACCCAUCAUGUAAUGUGAUGUUAUUCCAUGUCGUGUCACAGGUAACAUGAUGCAACACAAUGUCACACUUCAGGAAAUAUUACUAAGCAAGGGCUGAUUCUUGUUAGCAGUUCAGAAUGCAAGUCUCUGAUCCAAACAUAUUAUGGCUGUGGCUGAUGGGAAGGCAUCAAACUGAGAGCUACGUUGGGCAAAUGUUUUUCUUCUCUGGCUUGGCCAGCAGAUGUCCAUUUGUCAGGUUUGGGUUCAAUUGAGAUUUCUUUGUCACGAGCACUUUCUCUUGUAAAAGAAAUAGCAAUUUUAUGGCAAGCCAAAUACUGAAAAGAAAAGCCCUUAGAAAUACAUAAUAAAUGUAUAUUAGUGAGACAGAAAAUUGGAAAAUGGCCACCUGCCAGCAGCCACAUAAAUUUUGGAGGCAAUGCAUUUUUAUGCCAUUAUGCAUUAUCACAGGAAUUGCAAAUAUUUAUUAAAAGUAUUAAAAUGGUGAGAAUGUUAAAUGUUUCCUUCAGUAGUGGAAAUUCGCAGUGCCACAUAGAAGACAGGAUAUUCUGAUACAAUGUUUAUUAAAAUUACUUCAUUUUAUUAGGCUGUCAUACACAAUAAAUGUGCAGGUACAGUUAACAAAAGAUCUAUUGUGGAUAUGGGAGAUUUGUGAGUAACACUUCAAAAAAAUAAUCUCUUCUGAACUCUAUUCAUAUAAAAAGCAUGCUACAAACUUUCAUUAACUUCCUUAGAACCAAUUAUUUUCUGAGCUUAUUUUCUUUUUCUGCCAUCCCCCUGUAUUUUGUUAGUCGAUUUGUUUACUCAUAUUUUAAUGCUUAACAGGAUUAAAUGCAGUUUAUCUUUAAUUUAUAUACAAGUAAGAUGAGUGCAUAUGUGGAGCAGGCAACAAAACAUGACGAUUAUUUUGGGGUUCAUUCACAGGUCUAAACAUGAAUGACUGUAAUAUACUGGGUCCUCAGUAUCUUUUCAUCCAUAAGCAAAACAUUAUUAAAAGAUCAGUGGGAGCUCCAUAAUAUUGAUUGAGAAGAAAAUCACAUUCUGGUUUUGCCCACAUUUUCUGCUGGGAUUAAUCACAGUGAUUUUGUUUCUAAGGUUUUGUUGCAGCAAGAUACAGACUCGGGCACACCCUGACGGGGUAACUUUGCUGUUUGGCUUUGCUGGGCUUUGAGCCCCUUCCAGCAGCCCCUGAGCACUGAUGGGGACAGUGACAUAAUCCCUUCAUAAACAGGAAUCAGCACUGAAAGGAAGGAGGGUGGCUCUUGCCUUCUCAACUAAAAGUGUACUCAGAAUAGCUUCUUAAAGUCUUUUUUUAAAAUUUAAGAAAUGAGCAGAGAAAUAAGGAACCAGUACUGAGGUUUUUUUCUUACACAAGUGUUCCUCAAUUCUAUACAGUCCAUUAAGGAAGUGGUGGGAUUGGAGUCUAUGUUGUAGGCAGGGGGUGAAUAGAUCAAAGUUACAAGACCUCAGAUUUAUGGAGAGUCUUAUGCAAGGAAAAACCUGCCUGUGGAAGAUAAAAUUUCAAAAAUAAAGGAAUUUUCACCUUGCUUUUA